CUUACCACGCGUUAUCACUUGCUUUAAACAGACUUGGCAGGCAAUCUAAUCCUCCCUGAAAAGGUCAGUGCCAUUUUAACUGCCUUUCAAUCACAUUAUGCAUGGUGCAGCACACGUUCUCUGCGAUGCCUCCAGCUCUUGUCUAGACUGGAUCAAUACCUGAGCGAUAUCACUGGAGGAAUGACACAUGAUGCCAAUCGACCCGAAAUCCCUAAAUGGAACUGAACAGAAGGGAACAACUGGCCGCCUCUGACCUAUCGCUACCUAAUCUACUUAGUCCCAUCUGCUCAGGCCGAAAUAACAACCAAAGAUUUCCUCAGUCAGUGGUUUGCAGUGAGUGGGGACUUGCUCAGGCAGAACAACCCCACCCCCCAUCAGCUUUGAAGUCACAUUACAAAGCAGAGCCGAUGCCUCAGAGAAUUUCUUCAAUUCCAUUGCCCUGAUUAUUUUGCUGCAACCCAUUCUCUCACACAUGCCCACAGUCACCCCAAUUCUUCCGUCAGCCUCCAGUACUACACUAAUAUGCCUGAGGGAGAAAAUCAGACUAACAGGAUGGAACUAUGCAAUUACAGGAGAACAUGCAAACUUCACGGACAGCACCAGAGAAUCUGAAUCAAUUGCAGUUUUCUGGAGUUGUGAAACAUCUACUACCAUUGAAACUGCCAUUUAGUGUGCUUUAAAUGCACUGUCACCAUGUCACCCUUCUUAGCUCUGCUGUUCCUCUGACGACUGACCUGACAAAAGUACCAUUGGGAAUGGUAGCUGGCCAUACAGAACAUGGUUUGAACUGAGUUAACUGACAUGAGCCACAGCAACAGUAGGUGCACUGUAAUUGGUCUCGGAACUCUUGAGCUAUGGAAAGGUAAAUCAACUCGGGUUUCCAAUCUUGAUCAUUAUCCAGUGUCUUGAAAGUGAGAGUGUAAACUCCAGCUGAGAACAUAUCAGCUUUGACUAUCACAGUGUCUGAGAUGGAAUAGCUUUGCUAAAACUCACUAUCCAAGAUACAAAACGGACGGUUGGUUGUGCGGGGUAGGUGGAGAGCUCUGAUGCUUGAGCAUCAAUGUUGCAGCUCAAAACUUUGAUUCAAAGGAUCAUGUUUAAAUAUUUAUUUUUGUUCAUUUUUAAGCAAAUUUUUUUUAGAAAAAUGUUCAUAUAUUAUUUUUCAUUUGUUUUUA